AUGAGGAAGCAGAGGCACAGGAAGCUUAAUUGACUUGUCCAACAAGGCUUUAAAGGUGGUGAUCGAGCAUCAAUUUUGAGGUGGAGGAAUUCAGGUUACUUUGAGAGUUUGAGAGAUCGGGAGGUCAUGGAUCCAUUGAGCAAAGCUGACCAGCACCCAGAGGAGCUUCUACUUUGAAAAGGAUAAUCAUAGAAACGAGAAAGAAGUCAAGUACCUGUUUUGUUUUGCCAGAUGAUAGAGAUCAUGAAUCAAAAAUCAGAAAACUGCUUUAUCUGCAGCCCUGCAAACUGCUUUAUGUGCUGAUAAGAUUUAAGUAUUGGCCUCUCAGCAGAUUGUAUCAAUUGUGAUAAAUUAAGUUACUGAAUCCUCUUCUGAAUCCUUUUGUCUUUUUAUGUUUAGCAUAUGUUAUGCAUAGAAAUAAAAUGCCUGUCUUAUACCUAA